GGACAAGAUCAAACCGCAGGAAGAGCCACGCCCUAAUCCCCUUGCUCAGACCGGGGACGCGGCAGGAACUCAAUGUGUGAGCAGUAUGGCAGGCGUCAGGCAGAAGCAGCAGAGAGCAUCAGUGCUGCGGCAGGUUCCCCACACAGCUUCCA